AAGAUGCUGCAAGGUUUGUUAUACCAAGAAAUGGUGUAAAAUUUCUUCAGAGAGCUAGCUUGAAAUUACAUUUUGGAUGGUAAUAUCAUGGUGUAGCAACAGUUAAAUCAUGCUGAGCAAGUUAAGGAUGGAACACACUACACAACGUCCAUCACACUUGCCGAAAAUGUUUUCAGAACUGUACACUAAAUUACGAAAUUGGACUCCUUCAAGCUGUAAAUUGGGGGUAAAAUCUGUCCAGAAUUUAUGCAUCCCAGGCUUUAGUUAAAGCCUUAAGAAAUUAAAUGGAUUAUUUUAGUUAUUUUAAUAAUAAAGAUGCAUCGUGUAUUUUUACCAGGAGUCUUAAGAAACUUUUUAUUCAGCUUUUUACCUUCAUGUCAAAGAUGGGAAAAAUAAAGCAACAUACUAUACAUAGGCAUGCAUAUCAAUUGAAUGUGUUGUACACUGCUGCCAGAUUGUAAAUUGUUCUUUUUUUUGUGGAAAUGCUUGCACUGGGCACCCUGUUGAGGGAAAAUGGGAAUAAGAGAAUUUUUACUUACCAGUGAACAACUACCUAGCAACCACACCUUGGCAACACCCUAGAUUUUAUUUUUGGUACAAUGCUAAAUGUGAGGUUAAAGAGAGAGAUUAUGUUUUUCCGCAUUGUGUUACCAAAAUAUAAUUUCAUAUAGUUCCACUCAACAUUUUUCUUAAUGUGAAGAAUAUUGUUGAACCUAUUCCACCUAAAAAAAACAACAAAACAAACAAACAAAAACAACAAAAAACUUUAGUGCAAUGGAGAGUUUCCCUGAUUCUUAUAAAUGGAACAACAGAUAGCAAUAGAGAAUCUUUAUUUUCUGUAAACAAACCAUGUUUACAGUCUAAAGGACCACAAAACCUUUCCAGUGUCUUCUAAAAGCUUAGGACAGAAAAACAAAUGAAUACUAUUAUAGCAAUGUGGUGUAAUAAUUCUCCACUUUUACCAAGGUGUUGCAAUAAUGAUAUCUGUUGCUAUCUCAGACAGCAGACACAGCUUCUUUCUGGCUGUGAACAUUAGCAUCGGCUAUGGAAGCACCUGAGGAAAACAAUGACAGAAAGCUUGCGUUUCUUGUCUCCUCUUAAAACCAGUGGCUCCACUGGCAAUCAGUAAUACAAAAACAACAUCUUGUGGCAACAAAGUACAAAUUAGCAUCUCUGAAUCAAAGUGGGUCAUUGACUGGCAUCACUGCUUCCCAAAAAUCUGACCUGACACUGAGUGUUCCAAAUCGGCGCCCCAGUACCCUCCUCUUGAGCGAUGCAGAUGUCCUGGCUCGAGUUACACUUGAAAGACUGAGUCAUGGCUGAUGCCUGGCCCCCCAAUGGACUCAAAGGAACUUGGCUCAGAGAUUUAUGAAACCCAUCCCAUUCCCUGCAUGGAGUCGACAGAGCUUAGAAAAUAUGAGAGAUUUUUGUUUUCCAAACUCUGACUAACUUCUAGCUCCUGAUAAAUUAAGAUACUCAGAAACAAAGAUUGCUUUCAGAUUUUGUUCUGCCGACUACCAAUAUGAAAUUCCUUCCCCUAAAAUGAAGCAAAGAGACUCAUGAAAACUGAAAGAGUUAGGAGUGAAAGGAAACCUCAGAGCAGAUUCACUGUGCUCGAAGCUUUUACGCUCCUUUCUCCACCUCCUCUUCACCAUCCUGAAUUUAUGCUGUAAGAAAAUGUCGAAGGUGGAGAGUAAAGCCUGGCCAAAGAACAGGAUUCACUGAAACAUGGCGGUGGACUGUGGCAGAUGCCACGCACCUUCGCCCACUCUCCACCCACACAGGAGCAGCCGUGUACUCGGGGCAGAUUCUAUGUGCAAGCUGCACUCUGACAGAUAAAGAAAAUCACAUUGAUGCAGAGAGGGAGAAAUGACGAGCUUCUCCUAGUGACUUAGCUCUGAAUAUUAGCGCUGGGCUAAAUGAGUCUGAAAACCCUAUUCACCAAGCAUGGGAUGAAUAGUUGUGAUCGUUCCAGUCAUAUCUAUCACAGAUUUGGUGUUUUUCCGUGGUAGCUCGAUUACAUUUUCAGAGAUAUUUUGUGUCACAGCGGACUGUUUGUUAAGCUGACAGCCAUUUAUAGAGCGCUGCCAUGAAGGGUUAUUGAAACAUGACGUGGGUGAGGGUGUGAGUCUACGGUCUUGCAUAUACAGCUGUAAAUCUGGUGCACUUACCUCGGCUCCAUGCUGUUCCACUUGAGCUGUUUCUUUCAGCACUUCACUGCCAUUUCAGACGAAGGAAAGGGACUUAUUAACUUAUAUGGGAUGAGACAACGGGAGUGCGCUUGCUUCAUAACACUUCACCAACGCCCUGUGCAAGACAAAUGUCAUUAACAUUCCACGGUUAAAUGUUACAGUCCAUCUAAAACAAUUCAGAGCCAAAAUGCUAUUCCACUGGUCAGAAAAAAACAGCCACACUCUUACACCAUUAGUUGAGUCAGUUUUACUAUAUUUUUGAAGAAAUCAACAUAUCAAUUACUUAGAGUUGUCCCUCUAUGUUAAAACUGGAGUAGGAGAAAGCAUUUUAAGAUUAAAAAACGCUUACUUCAAAGACCUAAUUUUUCAGUUGUUUUACCUUAACAACAACUUUUAAAUAAGUCUUCUCUUUCACUGAGAAAAAUACAACCAAGCCUAAUUGAAAAAAACAAAAAAAAGUGUCUGCGGUGAAAUUUCUGUGAAAUUAUAUUAUGUUGCUUCAUGUACAUUUCACAACGUAAAGAAAGUGAAAUAUCCAGUGAGUGGCAUUAAAAAAUUUAUGUGGAUUGCCGUACCAGGUGAGCUAUUGAGCAAGUUUACUAUGCCAUAAAAACCAUGAAUAUGGAGCAGGUUAUAUGAUGCAGUUGUAUAAAUUAUAUGUUUACAAAUCAUGCUCUAUGUUUUUUUUAAGGUUAUAACACAUUAUAAUGCAAAGAAAGACUUAAAACAAGUCUUUAUUAAUUUAAUCUGCUAUAAAUAAUGUGUGUGAAAUAAUAAA